GCGACAUUUAGCCCAGCUCACAGGCCACAGCCCACAGCAACCCAUAUAGAGCCCAGUGCGUCAAAAAAAAACCAUAUAGAGCCUAGCGCAGACGGCAAUAAAGGCAAAGCAGAGAGUUCAAGUACGCAACCCCGUCCAUUCCCCUCCCCCGACCCCGAGCGGUCGAGCGCCGCCUCCGCCGGCUUCCGUCGUCGACCACCUCCUGGUGCUGCCGUCGUCAACCACCUCACCGUAGACCACGAAGCCGCAGUACUGGAGGGAAAGAGGAGAAGAGGAGGGAGCACAGCGCGUGCAGCUGCCUGCCGUCGAGUUGAGGGUCGACCGCCGCCAUCUCCACCUGUCCGCCGUCGACCACCUCCUCGCCGGCUCGCUGCUGUCGAUAAGAGAUGACCACGAAGCUGGAGGAGGGGGAGGAUGUGCCUGCACCUGCACGCCGUCUCCCCUGCACCUGUUCGAUCUCCUCUGUCCUCUCCUCUGCAUUAUCCCAUCUCUGACCGAGGUAUUCAGUGCCAAAAUUUUCAACAAUUAGUACUGAAUUGUUAGCAGUUCGUACUGAUCUAUUAAGUGUUGAAUACACCAUUGUUAGCAGUUAGUACUGAAUUCCAAAAUUUUCUUACAUCAUCUUUCAUCCAUUCUUCAGCUUGUCAUGGUAAAUCUAUAGCAUAACUUGCUUAUUUAUUGUCGAUUCCAUCCUCUUUUGAAACAAGCAUUCUAAAUGUUCAAAAUUAGUCUCAUAUAUGCUGUAUUCUUGGUCCAUUUGCUUUACAAAAUAUAAAAGGAUGACUAAACAGUGGCUAAACAGAGCCAAAAAUCCUCCCAGCGCACUCCCAGGAUACAAAUUCAGUCAGUCCAGUCGGUCCUCUCGAUCUUGACCGAGCUUUGCUGCAGCCGGUCCGGUCCUGAAAAUAUGAACCGCCAGCCACUUCGGUCCGGUCCGGACCGGACCGGCCGCGGCCAGUCCAAAGCAGGGCUCGGUCAGGGACCGGACCGGCCCGGACCGCGUCCACCCCUAUCAAUGGCAACUGUAAAACUCUUCCAAGGAAAACAUUGUCGCCUUGCAGAAAUUUCCCAUACUAUUGAAUGUGAUAAUCAGCAAUGCCAGUAUGAAUUAUAGGUCAGCAAUAAAAGUUGCCAUCCUGAAAAUGUUUCUUGCAUUAAUGAUCUCCUGUUCUGCGUAACGCCAAGGGCUGUUUUUCCACUUUGUCCGCUACAUUGAUGUUAUCUCUAUUUGGAUGUGUCGGUGUGGGUGUAUACGUCAUGGGCAUGUGACUCGUGCCGUUUGUGUUGUCGUUUAGCCAUAAUUAGAAGAGCCAAAAUUUAGUUAUAUUUUCUGCUAUGGAAAUGUUGAUAUUCAUGUCCUUUGGCCAGGGAAAUUUUAUCAUUUUGUAAAUAUCGUCUCUAGCACUACUAACUGGUAUCGCACAGAAGGCGAAUGCUUUUUUUUUUUUGGUUUAUCAAACAAUUUAUUGUGUUAAUAACAAUGACGAAUGACUCCUUGAGAAUAUUAUUAUGACACCGCAAUAGGGCUUAUGUGAAUCAACGAUCGGUAGCGUUUGUUAAGUUUGAAAAAAAAUUCUGGUUUCUUGAUCUUGUUCUUUUUGGCAUGUAUCAGUGUUGCUGCUAAGAAAGUUAACCUUUCAUGUGUGCACUUCUGCCAAUUCUACGAGGCAAAGUGCAAAGAAGGGUCAGUUCUUGGUACCUUAUUAUAUGUUGCACAGUAAUUAUUCUCUACUCUCUGUGCUUAUCAAAUCCCCUGUGUGAACCCUGCCAGCUUAUUUUGUCUUUAGUAACACUAUUAUUGGCUCAUAUUAAUCUGAUAUUCAUAAGAUCUAACCCGCUAGUUCACAUCAUGUCCCAUCAGGUGAUUGAUAUAACUCACUUCUUUUCUUUAUCUGAGUAUAUUCUCCUUGAUGAUUCUCUUGUAACUUUAUAGCUCUAGAGUUCUUUUUAUACCACAACUAAAGUUUUGAGACGGCUAGAGUUCUUUCUCAAACAAAGGGUUACGACUACUGAAGCAUUACAAUCUAGUUUGCUUAACCACUUCAGAAUUUGACAGUGUGGUGUGUUUGCAUUAUUUCAGGUGCCGCAUGGCAUUGAAUCUUCUUAGGAAUGAGUUCUAUGAUGUGCGUGACAAGCUAGAGACCAUUAUGCAGGUAGCAUCUUAUAUGCCUAUGUCGGCUUUUGACUUCCAACUUCUUACAAGAAUAGUAGUAUCUAGAUUGGUCGUAUAUUGUUUAAGAUAAAAAAACAAUAAAAAGCAUGAUCUUAUUCUUGUUACUAUUGAAAUUUGUAUAGCAAUAAUUGUUUGGUUUCUGCAGCAAUUAGUUCGAGGUCUUUGAAACUCCAUUUGGUCGUUGAAUGUUUCUCUCUUAAUAUUGUCACCAUGUUUCAUUUUAUGUAUAGGGUAGCUCCAAAAAAAGCAAUUGUAUUUCCUUGUUUCCCUGCUUAACCUAACUUUUGGCAAGUACCGGAAAAAGAUGCCAAAGUAACUUAUGCUCGACUAUACUUCUUUGACCUUUCAUAACCACAAAUCUACUCUUCUUUUGAUGUAGUUGGAGCAGCAGAUUGUAGCCUUGGGUCCUAAGUAGCAGUAAUCGAAGCCAAAAAAGCAUAGCCCCAUGUGACCUGGCACGAUGGGGUGUAUGUAUCUCUGAAGAUGUAGGCAACAUUCAGUGGUAGCUGGGCUUUGGAGGGGCCUCAUCGAAUAAUAUGAUAAUUCUUGUUUCGGCACUCCGCGAUCGCGACCACCCUGCAGAUGGAACUUGUGGUCUUGUUUGUCGAUGUCUUUGUCUGUCAAAUAUAUAUACUUGUGCCUCGUGGAUGGCCCGCGGACUGGGCAUAAACUCUAUACUUGGUUGUUUGCUUUUUGGCUUGGUUUUGUUGUAUGUUGCUUGCUCUUGUUAAUCAUCUUCUUAUGAAAUGUUGUUUCCUCCCAUUUGGGUGAGGGGAUAGAUUUGCUAGUUCUCUGGAACUGAGCUAAAAUCUUGUUGUUGGCUGGUAUGUCGAGAGGUAUUGCUUGCUGGCCUCCGCCAACACCAUCAGAAUCUCACAGCAUCACCACAACAGCAAACUGACCAUUCCGCCCCUGGAGAGAACAGGAUAUAUGCUGCAAAGGUGCACCGGAAGGUUCUGCGGGACAACAUCUAGGUGGUCAUGAAGCUUGCGGUCCGGCAGUGAGGCA
rnacentral:lncRNA from 1 species